rnacentral:rRNA from 1 species
GAUGAACGCUGGCGGCGUGCCUCAAACAUGCAAGUCGAGCGAGGCUAUGAAUUACCGCAAGGUAAGGCAUAGCCUAGCGGCGAACGGGUGAGUAACACGUGGGUAACCUACCUGGAAGACAGGGAUAACGAUUCGAAAGGGUCGCUAAUACCUGAUAAUAUCCAUCUGCCGGAUGGCGGAGGGAAGAAAGGGGAAACCCGCUUUCAGAUGGGCCCGCGUCCCAUCAGCUAGUUGGUAAGGUAAAGGCUUACCAAGGCGACGACGGGUAGCCGGUCUGAGAGGAUGUACGGCCACACUGGGACUGAGAUACGGCCCAGACUCCUACGGGAGGCAGCAGUUGGGAAUCUUAGGCAAUGGACGAAAGUCUGACCUAGCGACGCCGCGUGAGGGAAGAAGGGCCUUCGGGUUGUAAACCGUCUGUCAUGGGGGAAGAAGGAAGUGACGGUACCCAAGAGGAAGCCCCUGCUAACUACGUGCCAGCAGCCGGGUAACUGCUACGUAGA